CCUACGGGAGGCAGCAGUGGGGAAUAUUGGGCAAUGGAGGCAACUCUGACCCAGCAAUGCCGCGUGAGUGAUGAAGGUAAUUUUAUUGUAAAGCUCUUUUCUUUGGAACGAAUAAAUGACGGUACCAAAGGAAUAAGCCCCGGCUAACUACGUGCCAGCAGCCGCGGUAAUACGUAGGGGGCAAGCGUUGUUCGGAAUGACUGGGCGUAAAGGGUGUGUAGGUGGUUUGAUAAGUUAGAUGUGUAAUACCCAGGGCUUAACUCGGGUGCUGCAUCUAAAACUGUUAGACUUGAGUACUGGAGAGGAUAGUGGAAUUCCUAGUGUAGCGGUGAAAUGCUUAGAUAUCACGAAGAACCCCGAUUGCGAAGGCAGCCUGCCGCAGCGUUACUGACGCUGAAGCUCGAAAGCGCGGGUAUCGAACAGGAUUAGAUACCCGGGUAGUC
rnacentral:rRNA from 1 species